rnacentral:rRNA from 1 species
CCUACGGGACGCAGCAGUGAGGAAUAUUGGUCAAUGGGCGCGAGCCUGAACCAGCCAAGUAGCGUGAAGGAUGACUGCCCUACGGGUUGUAAACUUCUUUUAUAAAGGAAUAAAGUGAGGCACGUGUGCCUUUUUGUAUGUACUUUAUGAAUAAGGAUCGGCUAACUCCGUGCCAGCAGCCGCGGUAAUACGGAGGAUGCGAGCGUUAUCCGGAUUUAUUGGGUUUAAAGGGUGCGUAGGCGGAUCGUUAAGUCAGUGGUCAAAUUGAGGGGCUCAACCCCUUCCCGCCAUUGAAACUGGCGCUC